AGAGUUUGAUCAUGGCUCAGAACGAGCGCUGGCGGCGUGCUUAACACAUGCAAGUCGCGUGCGCAGUCUGUAGCAAUACAGAUGGGCGCACGGCGCACGGGUGCGUAACACGUGGGCAAUCUGCCCUCCGAUGGGGAAUAACCCCGCGAAAGCGGGGCUAAUACCGCAUAACAUUCCUUGGACUACGGUUCGAGGAUUCAAAGCAGAGAUGCGUCGGAGGAGGAGCCCGCGCCCGAUUAGCUAGUUGGUGAGGUAACGGCUCACCAAGGCAAUGAUCGGUAGCUGGUCUGAGAGGAUGAUCAGCCACACUGGAACUGAGACACGGUCCAGACUCCUACGGGAGGCAGCAGUGGGGAAUCUUGCGCAAUGGGCGAAAGCCUGACGCAGCGACGCCGCGUGGGGGAUGAAGCUUUUCGGAGUGUAAACCCCUUUCGACUGGGACGAAUGCCCGCAAGGGAGUGACGGUACCAGUAGAAGAAGCCCCGGCUAACUACGUGCCAGCAGCCGCGGUAAGACGUAGGGGGCCAGCGUUGUUCGGAAUUACUGGGUGUAAAGGGUUCGUAGGCGGUGUGGCAAGUUGGGAGUGAAAUCUCUGGGCUUAACUCAGAGGCUGCUUCCAAAACUGCUGUGCUUGAGUAUGGGAGAGGCGCGUGGAAUUGCAGGUGUAGCGGUGAAAUGCGUAGAUAUCUGCAGGAACACCCGUGGCGAAAGCGGCGCGCUGGACCAUAACUGACGCUGAGGAACGAAAGCUAGGGGAGCAAACAGGAUUAGAUACCCUGGUAGUCCUAGCCCUAAACGAUCAGGACUUGGGGUGUCGCCCGUUCGGGCGUCGUCCCGGAGCUAACGCGUUAAGUCCUGCACCUGGGGAGUACGGUCGCAAGACUGAAACUCAAAGGAAUUGACGGGGCCCGCACAAGCGUG
rnacentral:rRNA from 1 species